ACCCACAGUCCCCAGGGUCAGGCCUGAAUCAGAGAGGCUGCCGCCCGAGACGGCCGCGGCAGUUCCCUUGCACUUGUGGACAUUGGUAGGCGUGGUCUUCUUCUUCGGCAGCUUCCGGAAGACUACCCUUCGGGACUCGGUUGCUGUUCCAGAGGAGCAGAAGGGCUUGUUCUUUGACCGCACACAAGGACUAGAAAGCAGAAGCUUAGAGAAACUCCAAGAAUCCCUCUGUGCUCUGUUGCAGCCUGUCCAAGGUUCUGACACCUCAUGCGUCGUGGAGUUCUUUGUUGGAACAUGUGCUGAGCACUGGCGCUAAGCCUUCGAACAAGGAGGUGAGCAGCCAAGAGCAACACCUGCAGGAAGGGCCGGGCUGCCGGUGUCGGAGGAGUGGCAGUAGAUUCAACAGGACCCUCAGGUUUGUCCCUCCUCGCCUGGUGAGUCUUCUUGAAAUGUUUGUGCGUAUCAUAUGACAGCCCUGGCCACAGGCAGGGGGCACUUGGGCCUUCAGGAGCCAGGGGAAAGGAAGAAUAAAUUGUGUAUUCUAUUGUAUGUUAUAAAUUGAAUGCCGUAUAUUCAAUUUGUAUUAUAUAUUAUAAAUUUCAUACCACAUGUUCUAUUAGGUUUUAAAUUGUAUAUCGUAAAAUGUGUAUGUGCUCAGAGGUAUCACAUACGGUUCCAGACGGAAUGAGCCUACCUGGCUGAAUUGUCAUGCCAGGAUGGGUGAACCAGCAGGUGAGUCAUCUUCUGCCGGGUGGGCAAUUACAAUGCCCAGUGACUGUGUGUUAAUCUCCAGGUUUCUUGUGUUAUUUUCUGGAUUUGUAGUUCUACUUGGUGGCUAGGAGCUGAGAAAAUGGAUCUAGUCAUCCAGAAAGGAAGUUCCUGCUCACAGGAGAGACAGAGGUCUUCCACAUGCUGGUUCACUCCCCAGUUGGCUGCAAAGGCCGGAACUGUGCCAGUGUGAAGCCAGGAGCCAGGAACCUCUUCUGGGUCUCCCACGUGGGUUCAGGGGCCCAAGGACUUGGGCCGUCUUUUACUGCUUUCCCAGGCCAUAGCAGAGA